GACGAACGCUGGCGGCGUGCUUAACACAUGCAAGUCGAGCGGUAAGGCCCUUUCGGGGGUACGACGAGCGGCGAACGGGUGAGUAACACGUGGGUGACCUGCCCUCAGCUCUGGGAUAAGCCUGGGAAACCGGGUCUAAUGCUGGAUAUGACUCCAUGACGCAUGUUGUGGGGUGGAAAGCCUUGUGCGGCUGAGGAUGGGCCCGCGGCCUAUCAGCUUGCUGGUGGGGNGAUGGCCUACCAAGGCGACGACGGGUAGCCGGCCUGAGAGGGCGACCGGCCACACUGGGACUGAGACACGGCCCAGACUCCUACGGGAGGCAGCAGUGGGGAAUCUUGCGCAAUGGGCGAAAGCCUGACGCAGCGACGCCGCGUGAGGGAUGACGGCCUGGUGUAAC
rnacentral:rRNA from 1 species